UACGGAGGGUGCGAGCGUUAAUCGGAAUUACUGGGCGUAAAGGGUGCGUAGGUGGUUAGAUAAGUUAGGUGUGAAAGUCCUGGGCUUAACCUGGGGAUUGCGCCUGAUACUGUGUAGCUAGAGUACUGUAGAGGAAAGUGGAAUUUCCGGUGUAGCGGUGAAAUGCGUAGAUAUCGGAAGGAACAUCGGUGGCGAAGGCGACUUUCUGGACAGAUACUGACACUGAGGCACGAAAGCAUGGGGAGCAAACAGG
rnacentral:rRNA from 1 species